AGGGUCGGCAAUGAGUGUGGGUGGGCACGGCUGAGCAGCUCUGCUGCUGCCGCUGCCCUGCACAGACACAGAGGUGACAUCGUGGUGUUCUCUUGCAGUGAGUGUGCUGGACCCGGUGGUGCUGGCUCAGAGGAGGGUUUCUCUAGCCAAGAUGGCAGAGAAGAAAACCAAGGAGGAUGAAAACAAGCAAGGUGACCAAGCCAGAUUCCUGCCACCAAUUCAAGAGAAGUCUGAGAAAGAGGUGAAAAAGCCAAAACCUCCGGCUCAUCCACGGCCAUCCACGGCUUUUCCUCUGGACCCUUCGACAAUGAGACCCAUCUGCCAAAUGCUGAAGGGAUUCCGAAGUCCUUCCCACCUCGUGAGAAUGGAGUAUGACCAGAUGCUGAAACAGAGGAUAAAGGAGAAUGUCAAAGGCCAAAGCCCUGCAAGCAAGAAGGCACCAGACGGGUGGCAUGAAAAGCCACAGCCCCUGAGGAGAGCAAAGACAGAGUAAGGGUGUGCCAGCCCCACUAAGGUCUGGGAAGACCCCUGGAGGCCCUAAGUCCCGGAGCCAUUGUCUUCCUUUCCCUGGUCUCAGAGUCCUCCCCUUCCUCGUGACACCGGAUGGAGCUGGGUGCGAUGCCACACCCAGGGGCCUCUCUGCACCCCCAGGCUGAGGCAUGACACAGGUCCCGAGGGGAAGGCUGUGGGUGCAAAGGGCCAAGGGGACGGUCUCUCAUGCUGUGCAUCUGCGUGGGAUGUAGCAACACAUCCCA
rnacentral:lncRNA from 1 species